rnacentral:rRNA from 1 species
GACGAACGCUGGCGGCGUGCUUAACACAUGCAUGUCGAACGGAAAGGCCCUGCUUUUGUGGGUUGCUCGAUUGGCGAACGGGUGAGUAACACGUGAGUAACCUGCCCUUGACUUUGGGAUAACUUCAGGAAACUGGGGCUAAUACCGGAUAGGAGCUCCUGCUGCAUGGUGGUGGUUGGAAAGUUUCGGCGGUUGGGGAUGGACUCGCGGCUUAUCAGCUUGUUGGUGGGGUUGUGGCUUACCAAGGCUUUGACGGGUAGCCGGCCUGAGAGGGUGACCGGCCACAUUGGGACUGAGAUACGGCCCAGACGCCUACGGGAGGCAACAGUGGGGAAUAUUGCACAAUGGGCGGAAGCCUGAUGCAGCAACGCCGCGUGCGGGAUGACGGCCUUCGAGUUGAAAACCGCUUUCGCCUGUGACGAAGCGUGAGUGACGGUAAUGGGUAAAGAAGCACCGGCUAACUACGUG